UGGAGCAUGUGGUUUAAUUCGACGCAACGCGAAGAACUUACCAGGGCUUUGACCAUCCCUCUGACAGUCCCUUAACCGGGACCUUCUUCGGACAGAGGAGACAGGUGGUGCAUGGUUGUCGUCAGCUCGUGUCGUGAGAUGUUGGGUUAAGUCCCGCAAUGAGCGCAACCCUUGUCUUUAGUUGCCAUCAUUCAGUUGGGCACUCUAGAGAGACUGCCGAGGACAACUCGGAGGAAGGUGGGGAUGACGUCAAAUCAUCAUGCCCCUUAUGUCCUGGGCUACACACGUGCUACAAUGGCUGGUACAGAGAGACGCAAGACCGCGAGGUGGAGCAAAUCUCAAAAACCAGUCCCAGUUCGGAUUGCAGGCUGCAACUCGCCUGCAUGAAGUCGGAGUUGCUAGUAAUCGCAGAUCAGAAUGCUGCGGUGAAUGCGUUCCCGGGUCUU
rnacentral:rRNA from 2 species